AACUAAUUGUCUGAGUGAUUUUAAGUGUUUAUCUUGAAAAUAAAUUAUAUAGGUUUAAGUCCUAUAUUAGUUA
rnacentral:tRNA from 1 species